UUCGUAGGUGGCAAGCGUUGUCCGGAAUUAUUGGGCGUAAAGCGCGCGCAGGUGGUUUAAUAAGUCUGAUGUAAAAGCCCACGGCUCAACCGUGGAAGGUCAUUGGAAACUGUUAAACUUGAGUGCAGGAGAGAAAAAUGGAAUUCCUAGUGUAGCGGUGAAAUGCGUAGAGAUUAGAAGGAACACCAGUGGCGAAGGCAGCUUUUUGGCCUGCAACUGACACUGAGGCGCAAAAGCGUGGGGAGCAAACAGG
rnacentral:rRNA from 1 species